AGAGUUUGAUCCUGGCUCAGAACGAACGCUGGCGGCAUGCUUAACACAUGCAAGUCGAACGCUUUUGGGGCUUCGGCCUCAAGGGAGUGGCGCACGGGUGAGUAGCGCGUGGGAACCUGCCCUCUUGUGGGGGAUAACCGCGGGAAACUGCGGCUAAUACCGCAUAAGCCCGGGAGAGCGAUCUUCCGGGGAAAGAUUUAUCGCGAGAGGAGGGGCCCGCGUCGGAUUAGCUUGUUGGUGGGGUAACGGCCUACCAAGGCAGUGAUCCGUAGCUGGUCUGAGAGGAUGAUCAGCCACACUGGGACUGAGACGCGGCCCAGACUCCUACGGGAGGCAGCAGUGGGGAAUAUUGGACAAUGGGCGCAAGCCUGAUCCAGCAAUGCCGCGUGAGUGAGGAAGGCCUUAGGGUUGUAAAGCUCUUUCGCGCGCGACGAUGAUGACGGUAGCGCGAGAAGAAGCCCCGGCNANNUUCGUGCCAGCCGCCGCGGUAAUUC
rnacentral:rRNA from 1 species